AGUAAUGUGCCUGAAAAAGGGUUAUCUUGAUAGGGUAAAUCAUAUAGCUACUGCUAUUAUUACUA
rnacentral:tRNA from 1 species